rnacentral:lncRNA from 1 species
AGAUGAGCUGACAGACCCUGGCUGAGCAGGAAGUGGCAGGGUCAGGAAAAGCUAGGCCACAAGUUUUCCCUUGAGAGCCUUAGAGUCUAGCCCUGUCGCCCAGGCUGGAGUGCCAUGGUUUGAACUCUACUCACCGCAACCUCCACCUCCCAGGUUCAAAUGAUUCUCCUGCCUCAGCCUCCUGAAUAUCUGGGAUUACAGGCCAAAGAUUAUUAAUGCAUGAUGUGUAACAAUUUCAGGCAAAGCUCAGGGGCACAGGUGCAGGAUGUGCAGCUUUGUUACAUAGGUAAAGGUGUGCCAUGGAGGUUUGCCGCACAAAUCAUCCCAUCCCCCAGCCUAGGAAGAGAGAGAAUGCCGAAAGACUUCUAAUGUAUGGAGUUUAAACAUCAGAUGGUGAUUGAUUGCUAUUAAUUUAUGUCAGCAAAGGAGGAGAAGAAAUACGUAAAACUGCCUCUGAAGAAUUUACAUUAAACACCAAAAGAAUCUGACUCUGAAAAUGAAGAAACAAGGAAUAUUGUUUGUUUUGGGAAUCAAAAAAAAAAAAAACUUCCCAUUUGAGUACACAAUUUCCUAAACAAGAUACAUGAUAAUUCCAUACACUAUGCUUUCCGAAGAAACUUUGUAAAACGUAUUUUCAUUAUUCAAAACUUGAAAACACAGAAACAAUAUGAUGCAAAAAAUUAUCUUUAGCAUUAUUCCACUAAGAUAAUUCAUUUUAACAUCCAUAUAUUCAUUAUUAUGUAAAAUACCUAUCAGUAUGUGGGUAUAUCUUUGUGUGUAUAUUUUAACAAAACAAAAUUCAAUAAAAAUUGAAAUACAGAAAUGACAAAAACACACAAAAAAUAUAAAUUAUUUCCAUUGUAGCAUAUAUUACCUUUUUCACCUAACAUUAUACUGUAGGAAUAUAUUCUUUCAUCAUUCAAUGCUUUUGAAAAUAUAAUAAUAUUCCAUUUUAAGGACAUGCUAUAAUUUAGUUCAUUAGUUUUUAAACUUUUAGAUUAUCUCAUUUUGUCAUCAUUUAAAAAAAGUGUUCCUGGAUGUCCUUUUGCAUAGACUUUUGAAUGUAUUUCUGACUAUUUUCUUAACCUGUCCUGUACUUCUGCAAGUAGAACUGCUUGAGCAGAGAUUAGGAGCAAUUUUAAGGUUUUUCAAAAAUCUUGACAAACUAUUCUGCAGGAAAAAUGUAUCUUGUUACCAUCAGCAUUUUUAAGUAACUAGUGACUAAUUGUAAAAAUAAUUGUGUUUCCUUGUAUUUAAGCCUUGCGCUAUAGAUUUUAAAAAUUUGUCCUUUUUUUUUUUUCAUUUGUAAAAAAAAGCCAUCUAAAAGACCUUAGAACCUGGUAUCAGCUGAAGCUUACUAAACCAUAUCAAGAAGAUCAUGUCAUUCUCAAGAAAAGCAUGUUUCAAAUAAAAAGGAAAUGUCA